rnacentral:rRNA from 1 species
UGCCAGCAGCCGCGGUAAUACAGAGAGUGCAAGCGUUAAUCGGAAUUACUGGGCGUAAAGCGUGCGUAGGCGGAUGUUUAAGUCGGAUGUGAAAGCCCCGGGCUCAACCUGGGAAUUGCAUUCGAUACUGGGCAUCUGGAGUAUGGUAGAGGGAAGUGGAAUUUCCGGUGUAGCGGUGAAAUGCGUAGAUAUCGGAAGAAACACCAGUGGCGAAGGCGGCUUCCUGGACCAAUACUGACGCUGAGGCACGAAAGCGUGGGGAGCAAACAGGAUUAGAUA